rnacentral:rRNA from 1 species
UACGGGGGGUGCGAGCGUUGUCCGGAUUUAUUGGGCGUAAAGAGCGUGUAGGCGGCCAGAUAGGUCCGUUGUGAAAACUGGAGGCUUAACCUCCAGCUGUCGAUGGAAACCAUCUGGCUAGAGUCCGGAAGAGGAGAGUGGAAUUCCUGGUGUAGCGGUGAAAUGCGCAGAUAUCAGGAGGAACACCGGUGGCGAAGGCGGGUCUCUGGGCCGUAACUGACGCUGAGGAGCGAAAGCGUGGGGAGCGAACAGG